rnacentral:rRNA from 1 species
AUUGAACGCUGGCGGCAGGCCUAACACAUGCAAGUCGAGCGGAUGACGGGAGCUUGCUCCUUGAUUCAGCGGCGGACGGGUGAGUAAUGCCUAGGAAUCUGCCUGGUAGUGGGGGACAACGUUUCGAAAGGAACGCUAAUACCGCAUACGUCCUACGGGAGAAAGCCGGGGACCUUCGGGCCUUGCGCUAUCAGAUGAGCCUAGGUCGGAUUAGCUAGUUGGUGAGGUAAUGGCUCACCAAGGCGACGAUCCGUAACUGGUCUGAGAGGAUGAUAAGUCACACUGGAACUGAGACACGGUCCAGACUCCUACGGGAGGCAGCAGUGGGGAAUAUUGGACAAUGGGCGAAAGCCUGAUCCAGCCAUGCCGCGUGUGUGAAGAAGGUCUUCGGAUUGUAAAGCACUUUAAGUUGGGAGGAAGGGCAGUAAGUUAAUACCUUGCUGUUUUGACGUUACCGACAGAAUAAGCACCGGCUAACUCUGUGCCAGCCGCCGCAGUAACAC